UUUCCGUAGGUGGACCUGCGGAAGGAUCAUUACAGAGUUCAUGCCCUUCGGGGUAGAUCUCCCACCCUUGAAUAUUAUACCUUAGUUGCUUUGGCAGGCCGGGGCAACCCCCCGGGCUCAGGCCUGGGAGUGCCUGCCAGAGGAAACAAACUCUGUUUUUAGUGAUGUCUGAGUACUAUAUAAUAGUUAAAACUUUCAACAACGGAUCUCUUGGUUCUU
rnacentral:misc_RNA from 1 species